GGGUUAGUAAGUUGGUCGUGCCUUCAGUAUGUACUGACUUUACUGAUUUCUCCUUCUUGACGAACCAUGAUGUCAUUAAUUUGGUGUUGCGGCAAAUCAGAACUGUUAAUUUUUGAAAAAUUAGAGUGUUUAAAGCAGGCUAACGCUUGAAUACAUUAACAUAGAAUAAUGAAAUAGGACGUUAAUCCUAUUUUGUUGGUUUCUAGGAUUGACAUAAUGAUU
rnacentral:rRNA from 1 species